rnacentral:rRNA from 1 species
AUUGAACGCUGGCGGCAGGCCUAACACAUGCAAGUCGAGCGGAUGAAGGGAGCUUGCUCCUGGAUUCAGCGGCGGACGGGUGAGUAAUGCCUAGGAAUCUGCCUGGUAGUGGGGGAUAACGUCCGGAAACGGGCGCUAAUACCGCAUACGUCCUGAGGGAGAAAGUGGGGGAUCUUCGGACCUCACGCUAUCAGAUGAGCCUAGGUCGGAUUAGCUAGUUGGUGGGGUAAAGGCCUACCAAGGCGACGAUCCGUAACUGGUCUGAGAGGAUGAUCAGUCACACUGGAACUGAGACACGGUCCAGGCUCCUACGGGAGGUAGCAGUGGGGAAUAUUGGACAAUGGGCGAAAGCCUGAUCCAGCCAUGCCGCGUGUGUGAAGAAGGUCUUCGGAUUGUAAAGCACUUUAAGUUGGGAGGAAGGGCAGUAAGUUAAUACCUUGCUGUUUUGACGUUACCAACAGAAUAAGCACCGGCUAACUUCGUG